rnacentral:rRNA from 1 species
AGGUAUCAGAAGUGCGAAUGCUGACAUAAGUAACGAUAAAGCGGGUGAAAAGCCCGCUCGCCGGAAGACCAAGGGUUCCUGUCCAACGUUAAUCGGGGCAGGGUGAGUCGACCCCUAAGGCGAGGCCGAAAGGCGUAGUCGAUGGGAAACGGGUUAAUAUUCCCGUACUUGGUGUUACUGCGAAGGGGGGACGGAGAAGGCUAUGUUGGCCGGGCGACGGUUGUCCCGGUUUAAGCGUGUAGGUGUGUGUUCCAGGUAAAUCCGGUUCACUUUAACACUGAGGCGUGACGACGAGGCACUACGGUGCUGAAGCAACAAAUGCCCUGCUUCCAGGAAAAGCCUCUAAGCAUCAGGUAACAUCAAAUCGUACCCCAAACCGACACAGGUGGUCAGGUAGAGAAUACCAAGGCGCUUGAGAGAACUCGGGUGAAGGAACUAGGCAAAAUGGUGCCGUAACUUCGGGAGAAGGCACGCUGACACGUAGGUGAAGUGAUUUACUCAUGGAGCUGAAGUCAGUCGAAGAUACCAGCUGGCUGCAACUGUUUAUUAAAAACACAGCACUGUGCAAACACGAAAGUGGACGUAUACGGUGUGACGCCUGCCCGGUGCCGGAAGGUUAAUUGAUGGGGUCAGCGCAAGCGAAGCUCCUGAUCGAAGCCCCGGUAAACGGCGGCCGUAACUAUAACGGUCCUAAGGUAGCGAAAUUCCUUGUCGGGUAAGUUCCGACCUGCACGAAUGGCGUAAUGAUGGCCAGGCUGUCUCCACCCGAGACUCAGUGAAAUUGAACUCGCUGUGAAGAUGCAGUGUACCCGCGGCAAGACGGAAAGACCCCGUGAACCUUUACUAUAGCUUGACACUGAACAUUGAGCCUUGAUGUGUAGGAUAGG